rnacentral:tRNA from 1 species
GCGAGAGUGGCGAAAUGGUAGACGCGCUGGAUUUAGGGUCCGGUAGGAAAAUUCCUGUGAGAGUUCAAAUCUCUCCUCUCGCA